GACGAACGCUGGCGGCGUGCCUAAUACAUGCAAGUAGGACGCAGUUGCGAACGGGUGAGUAACGCGUAGGUAACUGCCUAUUAGAGGGGGAUAACUAUUGGAAACGAUAGCUAAUACCGCAUACUAGUAGAUGGACCUGCGUUGUAUUAGCUAGUAGGUAGGGUAAUGGCCUACCUAGGCGACGCUACAUAGCCGACCUGGUGGGGUGAUCGGCAAAAAUGGGACUUGGACACGGGCCAGAGUCCUACGGGGGGCAGCAGGAGGGAAUCUUCGGCAAUGGGGGGAAACCUGACCGGGCAACGCCGCGUGAGUGAAGAAGGUUUUCGGAUCGUAAAGCUCUGUUGGUAAGGAAGCGGUACUUAACCAGAAAGGGACGGCUAACUACGUGCCAGCAGCCGCGGUAAUUC
rnacentral:rRNA from 1 species